ACCGAGGAAGGGGACUAUCAGGUCAAGCUUCGCAACCUGAUCCGUUUCCUCAGUGAAGGGGACAAGGCCAAGGUAUCCCUGCGAUUCCGCGGUCGUGAGAUGGCUCACCAGGAGCUGGGCAUGGAGCUGUUGAAGCGGGUCGAAGCCGAUCUCGCCGAAUACGGCGCCGUUGAACAGCAUCCGAAGCUGGAAGGACGCCAGCUGAUGAUGGUCAUCGCUCCCAAGAAGAAAAAAUAACUACCAGGGCACUGGCAGGCCUUGCAGUUAUUUGUAAGCACUCAGCUACGGAGUACCGAACAUGCCAAAGAUGAAAACCAAGAGUGGUGCCAA
rnacentral:misc_RNA from 1 species